rnacentral:misc_RNA from 1 species
UAUUUAAUAUAUAUAUAUUAUAUAAAGGAAAAUCAUAUAUAUACAAAGUAUAAUAAUAUAUUCCAUCAUAUUUAUAUAAUAUAAAUAUGAUGAAAUAUUAUAUAAAAAAUAAUGAUAAAUAUAAAUAAAUAUAAAAUUAUCAUCUCUAUUACCUUUCAUUGGAGAAGGCAACUCCUAUAAAUAAGUAUAAGGAGAAGAUAAAUAAAAUGUAACAUAAUACUUAAUAAAUAUAUAUAUCUAUAUUAUUAUUCUAUAUCUCUUCCUUGUUUUAUAGGAAGCUAUAAUAUAAAUAUAUAAAUGAUAAGAAUAAAUAAUAAAAAGAUACGUUAAUAAUAAAUUAUAUAAAAUAUAAUUUAUAUUAUAUAAUAAUAGCUAAUUACUUCAAUAUUUUAAUUAUAAGAAUUACUUCUAUUAUAUAGUUUCUUUCUAUUAAUAUAAAUAAUAUUAGUAAGGAGUAAAUAUUAAACUAUAAGUUAUAUAAAAUAUAACACAACUAUGUUUAUAUAUAAUAUA